CGAUGCCAAUGAUGUACAACUUUCACUUAACCUACAUUGUUUGAGUUUCCGUGAGAAGAAAAACCAAUUCUGAGGCUCGG